CGACCUGCACAGGUGCUGCAUGGCUGUCGUCAGCUCGUGUCGUGAGAUGUUGGGUUAAGUCCCGCAACGAGCGCAACCCUUAUCCCCAGUUGCCAUCAGGUAAAGCUGGGAACUCUGGGGAGACUGCCGGUGAUAAACCGGAGGAAGGCGGGGAUGACGUCAAGUCCUCAUGGCCCUUACCAUCCCGGGCUACACACGUGCUACAAUGGCAGGUACAGAGGGCUGCGAAGCCGCGAGGUGGAGCGAAUCCCAGAAAACCUGUCUCAGUCCGGAUUGAAGUCUGCAACUCGACUUCAUGAAGGCGGAAUCGCUAGUAACCGCGAAUCAGCAGGUCGCGGUGAAUACGUUCCCGGGCCUU
rnacentral:rRNA from 1 species